GUGAUAAGCUGCGAUAAGCUUCGGGGAGUUGCACGUAAACUUUGAUCCGAAGAUUUCCGAAGGGGGAAGCUCACUUAGAGUAAUGUCUAAGGAUCAUUAAGUGAAUACAUAGCUGAAUGGGGGGAACGCAGGGAACUGAAACCUCUACGUACCUGAAGGAAGAGAAGGAAAUUCGAUUCCGUAAGUAGCGGCGAGCGAACGCGGAUUAGCCAAAACCAAUAAAGUUUUCUUUGUUGGGGUUGCGGACAUAUCAUAACGAAGAGGUAUCGUAAUUGAAGAGGUUUGGAAAGACCCACCACAGAAGGUAAUAGUCCUGUAUGUUAAACGAGAAGACUUUAGAUAUGAUCCAGAGUACGACGGGACACGUGAAACCCUGUGGGAAGCAGGAGGGACCACCCUCCAAGGCUAAAUACUACCUAGUGACCGAUAGCGUAUAGUACCGUGAGGGAAAGGUGAAAAGAACCCCGGGAGGGGAGUGAAAUAGAACCUGAAACCCUGCACUUACAAGCUGUGGAAGCACAUUUCUUGUGUGACCGCGUACUUUUUGUAGAACGGGCCAACGAGUUACGUUAAGUAGCAAGGUUAAGCACUUAAGGUGCGGAGCCGUAGCGAAAGCGAGUUUUAACUGAGCGUUCAGUUACUUGACGUAGACCCGAAACCGGGCGACCUACCCAUGAGCAGGAUGAAGCGAAAGUAAAAUUUCGUG
rnacentral:rRNA from 1 species